rnacentral:rRNA from 1 species
AUUGAACGCUGGCGGCAGGCCUAACACAUGCAAGUCGAGCGGAGCGGCGGACGGGUGAGUAAUGCCUAGGAAUCUGCCUGGUAGUGGGGGAUAACGUCCGGAACCGGGCGCUAAUACCGCAUACUAGCAGAUGAUCCAAGGUCGGAUUAGCUAGUUGGGGGGGUAAAGUCCUACCAAGGCGACGAUCCGUAACUGGUCUGAGAGGAUGAUCAGUCACACUGGAACUGAACGAGGGCCCAGACUACUACGGGAGGCAGCAGUGGGGAAUAUUGGACAAUGGGCGAAAGCCUGACCCAGCCAAGCCGCGUGGGUGAAGAAGGUCUUCGGAUUGUAAAGCACUUUAAGUUGGGAGGCGUUACCAACAGAAUAAGCACCGGCUAACUUCGUGCCAGCAGCCGCGGUAAUAC